ACGAACGCUGGCGGCGUGCUUAACACAUGCAAGUCGAACGGAAAGGCCCUGCUUUUGUGGGGUGCUCGAGUGGCGAACGGGUGAGUAACACGUGAGUAACCUGCCCUUGACUUUGGGAUAACUUCAGGAAACUGGGGCUAAUACCGGAUAGGAGCUCCUGCUGCAUGGUGGGGGUUGGAAAGUUUCGGCGGUUGGGGAUGGACUCGCGGCUUAUCAGCUUGUUGGUGGGGUAGUGGCUUACCAAGGCUUUGACGGGUAGCCGGCCUGAGAGGGUGACCGGCCACAUUGGGACUGGGAUACGGCCCAGACUCCUACGGGAGGCAGCAGUGGGGAAUAUUGCACAAUAGGCGGAAGCCUGAUGCAGCAACGCCGCGUGCGGGAUGACGGCCUUCGGGUUGUAAACCGCUUUCGCCUGUGACGAAGCGUGAGUGACGGUAAUGGGUAAAGAAGCACCGGCUAACUACGUG
rnacentral:rRNA from 1 species